CCUACGGGUGGCAGCAGUGAGGAAUAUUGGUCAAUGGACGGAAGUCUGAACCAGCCAUGCCGCGUGCAGGAAGACGGCUCUAUGAGUUGUAAACUGCUUUUGUACAAGGGUAAACAUGAAUACGUGUAUUCAGCUGAAAGUACUGUACGAAUAAGGAUCGGCUAACUCCGUGCCAGCAGCCGCGGUAAUAAGGAGGAUUCAAGCGUGAUCCGGAUUUCUUGGGUUUAAAGGGUGCGUAGGAGGAUUGAUAAGUUAGUGGUGCAACGGCCGAGCUUAACUCGGGAACUGCCUCUAAUACUGUUGGUCGAGAGUGUAGGUGCGGUAAGCGGAAUGUAUGGUGUAGCGGUGAAAUGCUUAGAGAUCAUACAGAACACCGAUUGCGAAGGCAGCUUACCAAUCUAUAUCUGACGUUGAGGCACGAAAGCGUGGGGAGCAAACAGGAUUAGAUACCCCAGUAGUC
rnacentral:rRNA from 1 species